ensembl:lncRNA
CCGGCGGGAGCCGACUGAGAAAGUCCGGGCUGCUGACACUCCGCCCCGCGAGCUGUUUUCCCUGACCCAUGUCAUUCUGUUGAUACCAGAACAGAUAUUAAGUACCAUAUAUGGGAAAAGUGCUAUUUUACAAUGCAGAUGGCCUGUGGGGGCGGACCUGGACUCAAGCCUCGGAUCCGUUGUGGGCGCCCUGAGUUCCAUUUUCGACCCUGUCUUUGGAGUGCGCACGCUGCAGUCUUUCAGCCUCCAGACAUCUGCUCCGGUUGUUCCAGAGCACCGGCUUUGGGUGCCCCGUUUCAAGCAUCAAACUCACACUGGUUAUCUAUUCUACAUAAGAUCACUCUCUCUGGGGGAGGCCAGCUGCUGUGUCCUUUGGAGAAGUUCACAAGGUGAGGAACUGAGGCCUUCCACCAACAGCCAGCAUGAGGGAAGCAUCUUAGUACAGCAUGUGAAAUACUGGGCUGGAUGAAGCACAAGCUGAAUCAAGAUUGCUGGGAGAAAUAUCAAUAACCUUAAAUAUGCAGAUGACACCAUCCUCAUGGCAGAAAGCUAAGAGGAACUAAAGAGCCUCUUGACGAAGGUAAAAGAGGAAAGUGAAAAG